rnacentral:rRNA from 1 species
AUACGGAGGGUACAAGCGUUGUUCGGAAUCACUGGGCGUAAAGGGCGCGCAGGCGGUUUUACAAGUCAGAUGUGAAAGCCCACGGCUCAACCGUGGAAGUGCAUUUGAAACUGUAAGACUUGAGUAUCAGAGGGGAAGGUGGAAUUCCCGGUGUAGAGGUGAAAUUCGUAGAUAUCGGGAGGAAUACCGGUGGCGAAGGCGACUUUCUGGCUGAAUACUGACGCUGAGGCGCGAAAGCGUGGGGAGCAAACAGGAUUAGAAACCCUAGUAGUCC